GACGAACGCUGGCGGCGUGCUUAACACAUGCAAGUCGAACGGAAAGGCCCUGCUUUUGUGGGGUGCUCGAGUGGCGAACGGGUGAGUAACACGUGAGUAACCUGCCCUUGACUUUGGGAUAACUUCAGGAAACUGGGGCUAAUACCGGAUAGGAGCUCCUGCUGCAUGGUGGGGGUUGGAAAGUUUCGGCGGUUGGGGAUGGACUCGCGGCUUAUCAGCUUGUUGGUGGGGUAGUGGCUUACCAAGGCUUUGACGGGUAGCCGGCCUGAGAGGGUGACCGGCCACAUUGGGACUGAGAUACGGCCCAGACUCCUACGGGAGGCAGCAGUGGGGAAGAUUGCACAAGGGGCGGAAGCCUGAUGCAGCAACGCCGCGUGCGGGAUGACGGCCUUCGGGUUGUAAACCGCUUUCGCCUGUGACGAAGCGUGAGUGACGGUAAUGGGUAAAGAAGCACCGGCUAACUACGUG
rnacentral:rRNA from 1 species